UCACUUUUUGAAGAAAGGGUCAUGUUAAAGAGAGGAGGCUAUACAUUCAAGUAAAGGAUCAUUUAAGCCAUUAUUCGUGUCAGUUGGUCACCGUGUAUCCCUUGCUUUUGCUCUUGAAGAGUUGAAGUUGUUAGAAGAACCUGCAAAUAUCAUGUGCCAGAGCCCAUCAGUUAGGCUGACAUAAGAUCAAGAUACUAUCUUCAGUAGCAUCAUUGAAUCAAUUUAGAUGUUGAUGUUUUAAAGGUUAUCAAAACCUUGGGCGGGCUAUAGCUCACUCAUUCCCUCCCAAAUCACACCAGUACUGCCUCCCCAAACCCUAGUUUGACGCCGCACCACGUCGCCUCCUCAGCGCCGCCGCACCACCUCGCCGGUCCACCUCCUCAGUGCCGCCGCACCACCAGGUUUAGAGAGUAGCAAUGCUUCACAGCCGCCGCUGCACCCGCAGGCGCGGAAUUUAUAGGGGACUUGGCGUAAACCUUCUUUAUCUCCAGCCUCGAGGGACGUGAGUCCUCAUGAGAAGGAGAAGACACGUCUGCAAUUUUCAGAGGAUUAUUUUGACGAAUUGUUUGAAGACCUGAGAUUUAUGGAACGAUUCUACCAAGCUAUGGAUAAGAAUGAAUCAAGAAAAGGCAACGAAAAUGACACGGACGAGGAGGGAGAAUGAUUUAUUUUGUAUUGAAUUUAGGAGUUUCAAAACUGUAACUUAAUCAAACAAAAUACUUUUGUUGUAGUUUUAUUUUUAAAAAACUUAGUGUUGUUU
rnacentral:lncRNA from 1 species